AAAUUGAAGAGUUUGAUCAUGGCUCAGAUUGAACGCUGGCGGCAGGCCUAACACAUGCAAGUCGAACGGUAACAGGAAGCAGCUUGCUGCUUUGCUGACGAGUGGCGGACGGGUGAGUAAUGUCUGGGAAACUGCCUGAUGGAGGGGGAUAACUACUGGAAACGGUGGCUAAUACCGCAUAACGUCGCAAGACCAAAGAGGGGGACCUUCGGGCCUCUUGCCAUCAGAUGUGCCCAGAUGGGAUUAGCUUGUUGGUGAGGUAACGGCUCACCAAGGCGACGAUCCCUAGCUGGUCUGAGAGGAUGACCAGCCACACUGGAACUGAGACACGGUCCAGACUCCUACGGGAGGCAGCAGUGGGGAAUAUUGCACAAUGGGCGCAAGCCUGAUGCAGCCAUGCCGCGUGUAUGAAGAAGGCCUUCGGGUUGUAAAGUACUUUCAGCGGGGAGGAAGGUGUUGUGGUUAAUAACCGCAGCAAUUGACGUUACCUGCAGAAGAAGCACCGGCUAACUCCGUGCCAGCAGCCGCGGUAAUACGGAGGGUGCAAGCGUUAAUCGGAAUUACUGGGCGUAAAGCGCACGCAGGCGGUCUGUCAAGUCGGAUGUGAAAUCCCCGGGCUCAACCUGGGAACUGCAUUCGAAACUGGCAGGCUUGAGUCUUGUAGAGGGGGGUAGAAUUCCAGGUGUAGCGGUGAAAUGCGUAGAGAUCUGGAGGAAUACCGGUGGCGAAGGCGGCCCCCUGGACAAAGACUGACGCUCAGGUGCGAAAGCGUGGGGAGCAAACAGGAUUAGAUACCCUGGUAGUCCACGCCGUAAACGAUGUCUACUUGGAGGUUGUGCCCUUGAGGCGUGGCUUCCGGAGCUAACGCGUUAAGUAGACCGCCUGGGGAGUACGGCCGCAAGGUUAAAACUCAAAUGAAUUGACGGGGGCCCGCACAAGCGGUGGAGUAUGUGGUUUAAUUCGAUGCAACGCGAAGAACCUUACCUGGUCUUGACAUCCACAGAAGAAUCCAGAGAUGGAUUUGUGCCUUCGGGAACUGUGAGACAGGUGCUGCAUGGCUGUCGUCAGCUCGUGUUGUGAAAUGUUGGGUUAAGUCCCGCAACGAGCGCAACCCUUAUCCUUUGUUGCCAGCGAUUAGGUCGGGAACUCAAAGGAGACUGCCAGUGAUAAACUGGAGGAAGGUGGGGAUGACGUCAAGUCAUCAUGGCCCUUACGACCAGGGCUACACACGUGCUACAAUGGCGCAUACAAAGAGAAGCGACCUCGCGAGAGCAAGCGGACCUCAUAAAGUGCGUCGUAGUCCGGAUUGGAGUCUGCAACUCGACUCCAUGAAGUCGGAAUCGCUAGUAAUCGUGGAUCAGAAUGCCACGGUGAAUACGUUCCCGGGCCUUGUACACACCGCCCGUCACACCAUGGGAGUGGGUUGCAAAAGAAGUAGGUAGCUUAACCUUCGGGAGGGCGCUUACCACUUUGUGAUUCAUGACUGGGGUGAAGUCGUAACAAGGUAACCGUAGGGGAACCUGCGGUUGGAUCACCUCCUUA
rnacentral:rRNA from 7 species